rnacentral:rRNA from 1 species
GCGACCCCAGGUCAGACGGGACU